UCUCCGUAGGUGAACCUGCGGAAGGAUCAUUCAUAAUAAAGUGUUUUAUGGCACUUUUUAAAAAUCCAUAUCCACCUUGUGUGCAAUGUUAGAUCUCGUCAAUCUUGGCGAGAUUUUUAUACAUCAACUCAUUCUUUAACUAAUUUGUCUGAAAAAUAUUAUGAAUACUUAAUUCAAAAUACAACUUUCAACAACGGAUCUCUUGGCUCUC
rnacentral:misc_RNA from 1 species